UACGGAGGGAGCUAGCGUUGUUCGGAAUUACUGGGCGUAAAGCGCGCGUAGGCGGCUUUGUAAGUUAGAGGUGAAAUCCCGGGGCUCAACCUCGGAACUGCCUUUGAUACAGCAAGUCUUGAGUUCGAGAGAGGUGGGUGGAAUUCCUAGUGUAGAGGUGAAAUUCGUAGAUAUUAGGAAGAACACCGGUGGCGAAGGCGGCCCACUGGCUCGAUACUGACGCUGAGGUGCGAAAGCGUGGGGAGCAAACAGG
rnacentral:rRNA from 1 species